CAGCCGCCACGGGAAUACGGAGGGGGCUAGCGUUGUUCGGAAUUACUGGGCGUAAAGCGCACGUAGGCGGCUUGGUAAGUUAGAGGUGAAAGCCUGGAGCUCAACUCCAGAAUUGCCUUUAAGACUGCCGAGCUAGCAGGUGAGAGAGGUAAGUGGAAUUCCGAGUGUAGAGGUGAAAUUCGUAGAUAUUCGGAAGAACACCAGUGGCGAAGGCGGCUUACUGGCUCAUACUGGACGCUGAGGUGCGAAAGCGUGGGGAGCAAACAGGAUUAGAUACCCCCGUAGUCCCUGUCUCUUAUAA
rnacentral:rRNA from 1 species